rnacentral:sRNA from 1 species
AGGACAUCCAGCGCUUCAUCCUCCGAUCCCUGGGGGAGAAAAGGCAGCUCUACUAUGCCAUGGAGCACCUGGGGACCAGCUUCAGGGAUCCUUUUGAUCCACUGCCCAGGGCUCCUGACAUUGAGUCCUGGGCUUUGCCUACCUCCGUCUUCCUCUCUGGAAACAGGAGGACCUUAAUGAGAUAUUUCAGCUGUAAUGUCAGGGAUUCCAGGGCCUGACCUCGGUGGGUGAUGAUGCUUUUCUGGACUGUCACAGGACCCCUGGACCCCUGCAGCUCUCAUCCCUGAGGCACUUAGAGAAAAGCUCAGGAUCAAGAGAAGAGGCCUUGGGACCAUGAGCCUGCGAAGCCAAAGCCCUUGACCUACUGGAAGGAUGUACUUCUCCUGGAGGGUGUGACCUUGACGCAGGAUUCCAGGCAGCUGAAUGGGUCGGAGCGGGCGGUGUUGGAUGGGCUGCUCACCCCAGCCGAGUGUGGGGUGCUACUGCAGCUGGCUAAGGAUGCAGCUGGGGCUGGAGGCAGGUCUGGCUAUCAUGGUCGCCGCUCCCCUCACACCCCCCAUGAACGCUUCGAGGGGCUCACAGUGCUUAAGGCUGCGCAGCUGGCCCGGGCUGGGACAGUGGGCAGUCAGGGUGCUAAGCUGCUUCUGGAGGUGAGCGAGCGGGUGCGGACCUUGACCCAGGCCUACUUCUCCCCGGAACGGCCCCUGCAUCUGUCCUUCACCCACCUGGUGUGCCGCAGCGCCAUAGAAGGAGAGCAAGAGCAGCGCAUGGACCUAAGUCACCCAGUGCAUGCAGACAACUGCGUCCUGGACCCUGACACGGGAGAGUGCUGGCGGGAGCCCCCAGCCUACACCUAUCGUGACUACAGCGGACUCCUCUACCUCAACGAUGACUUCCAGGGUGGGGACCUGUUCUUCACGGAGCCCAACGCCCUCACUGUCACGGUGCGUGGAGUGG